GACGAACGCUGGCGGCGUGCUUAACACAUGCAAGUCGAACGGAAAGGCCCUGCUUUUGUGGGGUGCUCGAGUGGCGAAAGGGUGAGUAACACGUGAGUAACCUGCCCUUUACUUUGGGAUACCUUCAGUAAACUGGGGUUCUUACCGGAUAGGAGCUCCUGCUGCAUGGUGGGGAUUGGAAAGUUUCGCCGGUUGGGGAUGGACGGGCGGCUUAUCGGCUUGUUGGUGGGUUAGUGACUUACCAAGGCUUUGACGGGUAGCCGGCCUGAGAGGGUGACCGGCCACAUUGGGACUGAGAUAGGACCCGGAGUGCUACGGGAGGCAGCAGUGGGGAAUAUUGCGAAAUGGGCGGAAGGCGGAUGCAGCAACGCCGGGUGCGGGAUGACGGCCUGCAGGUUGUAAACCGCUUUCGCCUGGGACGAAGAGUGAGUGACGGUAAUGAGUAAAGAAGCACCGGCUAACUACGUG
rnacentral:rRNA from 1 species